rnacentral:rRNA from 1 species
GACGGAGGGCGCGAACGUUGUUCGGAAUCACUGGGCGUAAAGGGCGCGUAGGCGGGCCGGUAAGUCGAGGGUGAAAUUCCAGGGCUCAACUCUGGAACUGCCUUCGAAACUGUCGGCCUAGAGUGCAGGAGAGGAAGGCGGAAUUCCAGGUGUAGCGGUGGAAUGCGUAGAUAUCGGGAGGAACACCUGUGGCGAAAGCGGCGCACUGGACCACAACUGACGCUGAGGCGCGAAAGCUAGGGAGCAAACAGG